rnacentral:rRNA from 1 species
GAUGCAGCGACGCCGCGUGAGGGAUGACGGCCUUCGGGUUGUAAACCUCUGUUAGCAUCGAAGAAGCGAAAGUGACGGUAGGUGCAGAGAAAGCGCCGGCUAACUACGUGCCAGCAGCCGCGGUAAUACGUAGGGCGCGAGCGUUGUCCGGAAUUAUUGGGCGUAAAGAGCUUGUAGGCGGUUGGUCGCGUCUGCUGUGAAAGGCUGGGGCUUAACCCUGGUUUUGCAGUGGGUACGGGCUAACUAGAGUGCAGUAGGGGAGACUGGAAUUCCUGGUGUAGCGGUGGAAUGCGCAGAUAUCAGGAGGAACACCGAUGGCGAAGGCAGGUCUCUGGGCUGUAACUGACGCUGAGAAGCGAAAGCAUGGGGAGCGAACAGGAUUAGAUACCCUGGUAGUCCAUGCCGUAAACGUUGGGCACUAGGUGUGGGGGACAUUCCACGUUUUCCGCGCCGUAACUAACGCAUUAAGUGCCCCGCCUGGGGAGUACGGCCGCAAGGCUAAAACUCAAAGAAAUUGACGGGGGCCCGCACAAGCGGCGGAGCAUGCGGAUUAAUUCGAUGCAACGCGAAGAACCUUACCAAGGCUUGACAUAUACUGGACUGCGUCAGAGAUGGCGUUUCCCUUCGGGGCUGGUAUACAGGUGGUGCAUGGUUGUCGUCAGCUCGUGUCGUGAGAUGUUGGGGUUAAGU